CACCGCCCGUCACACCAUGGAAGUCGGUAACGCCCGAAGUCAGUGACCCAACCGUAAGGAGGGAGCUGCCGAAGGCGGGACCGAUAACUGGGGUGAAGUCGUAACAAGGUAGCCGUAUCGGAAGGUGCGGCUGGAUCACCUCCUUU
rfam:Clostridium sp. C105KSO13 isolate C105KSO131 genome assembly, contig: {contig53}